rnacentral:rRNA from 1 species
AUACGGGAGGCAGCAGUGGGGAAUUUUGCGCAAUGGGGGAAACCCUGACGCAGCAACGCCGCGUGAGUGAUGAAGGCCUUCGGGUCGUAAAGCUCUGUCUAGAGGAAAGAAGUGUGAGGUGGCGAACACCCAUUUCACUUGACGGUACCUCUGAAGGAAGCACCGGCUAACUCCGUGCCAGCAGCCGCGGUAAUACGGAGGGUGCGAGCGUUGUUCGGAUUUAUUGGGCGUAAAGCGCGUGUAGGCGGUUUCAUAAGUCUGAUGUGAAAGCCCCGGGCCUAACCUGGGAAGUGCAUUGGAAACUGUGAGACUUGAGUACGGGAGAGGGUAGUGGAAUUCCUAGUGUAGGAGUGAAAUCCGUAGAUAUUAGGAGGAACACCGGUGGCGAAGGCGGCUACCUGGACCGAUACUGACGCUGAGACGCGAAAGCGUGGGGAGCAAACAGGAUUAGAUACCCCGGU